GGAGCAGCUCCCUUUGUUGUCUCUUCAGGCAGCUGUAGUGUCUCUUCAGCAUUUGUUGGGUUCACAACCUAUUUAAAAGCCAGCUGGUCUUCACCCUCCCAGACAAGUCAGCUCAAGGGAGGCGGUGGGGUGCGGGCCUUGGCCUGAGCCCCACCCAAGGCUGAGCUGUGGGGCAGUCAGGAGAGCAGCAGGCAAGACCAUCUCUGCAGGCGCAGUGAAGCCCUGGCCUAGAGCAGCAGGUGUGAGAGGCCAAACCUGCAAGCUAAGGCACAGGUAGUGGCAGAGAGGAGUAGAGGCCCCCCAUGGGGAACACACUGAACUGUUGUGUGUGCCCCAAGUGGGGCUGGCACCGGGGUCGUGUGUGGCCCUGUGAGCCUGAGAUCUGUGAGGCAAUAACUGGGAACACAACGCCAGUAGCACCAGUGCCUGCUGCUGUAUAGCCUACUGAAUUUGCUUUUGAAGCUGUUGAGAGCCUCCAUGUACACCACAUCCAUGACCAAGAGAUUCCAGAAGAUAGAGCUUUGGAGCCAAACCCUUCUGAUGAUCCAAGGGCAAGCACAGUCUUCUUGCAAAAAUCUCAAACAGAUGUUCAAGAAAAGAGAAAGAGCAACGACAUGAACC
rnacentral:lncRNA from 1 species